GCAUCUGAAAACUAAAAGGCCCCAUAGGAAUCCUGACAAUGUCUCAAAAAAUUUUAACCCAAAUUAAACAUGAAAAAAAGUAAAGUAGAUGGUAAGUAGAAAUGGAUUCCAUGAAUCAGGGACUCGAGCAAUUAAUUCAUGAUGCUCUCUGGGCCAGCUUCUGAUACUGAUCUGUCAGAUUUGAUUUGUCUGGGCUGGAGAUGUAGCUCAGUGGUUGAGCAUCCUUGGGUUCAAUCCCCAGGACCAAAAUAAAAACAAACAACACAACAACAAAACCUGGAGCCUGAAUAAACUUCCUGAGGACAAAUUCUUGGCUGGUGGCCAUCCAGCUUCAAUAUCCUGCCAGAGCCCUACUUGCCUCUGUGGGGGACCACCCACUUCCCUCACUUCCACUGCCACUCUCUCCCACUUCUAUAAUAACAGAUCAUAACACAAAGUAGCUUACACUAGACCAGCAUUUUAACUCAGCUGAACACAUAACUAAAAGUAAUGCUGAGGUGACUUCAUCAGAAUGAACCGACUAAACCCCAGUCAACUUUGCUCUCUGCCUUUCCUCCCUGCAGUUCUGGGGGCCCCUGAGGACAAGCAACUAAGAUAUGGAGAGAGCAGAAGCUUUAGGCAGAGCUUUGAUUGUAUUGUAUGUAUGUAUGAACUCCAACUCCAGGAAUUGCUGUUUCCAGUUUGCAGAUAAGGAAAGUGAGGCACAGUGAGGUUAAGCUGCCAGAGUUGCAGCAGAUGGUUGAUGGAGACAGGAUUCUUAACCACUACACAAUACUGUCCCUUUUGUGUACCGUGGAUCUGUAUUAAUCCACAGCUAAAAGGAUCUCCUGAAAGAUCUGGAGACCUGAUGACAAAAUGUCCCGUCAGAAGUGAGGAAAAAUAACAGAGAUCCUUCUCAGGGAUCCUGUAUAGGACAUUCUUCCAAGGCAUGGAAACCUUGGAUGCAUCACUAAUUCUAUGAUCUUGAACAAACUGUUCCACUUCUCAAGGUGCCCGUUUCUUCAUGUAUUAAGGGAAGACAAUGGAUGAUAUAGUCACUUCCAACUCUAAAAUGCUGUGAUUCUAAUUUACAUGCAAAAUAGCAUGCAGAGAGCCUCCAGUGCCCUCUGAAUCUACCUCCCUGUAGCCUGUAGAUCUCUCUAUUCCUCAGUUUACUCAUGUAUAAAAUAGGGUUUCUAAUAACACCUACUUCUUGAGAAGACGAAAUGUGAGAAUAAAUGUAAAGCCUUUAGCAUGUGAUUUCGCUUUACUAUAUGACUAGCACAUAGCAAGUACUCAAGAACAUUUCUUUAUAUCAUCAUCAUUAUCAUCAUCAUCAUCACCAUCUUGUAGGUAGGUAGGCACUACCUCUCAAGGUACUCCAAUAUAAGAGAUCUGCACAGAUGUCAUAAACAGUUUGAAAAUUCUUGCUAGGUAUGGUGAUACACACUUACAGUCCUCGUGACUCAGGAGGCUCAGGCAGGAGGAUCAUAAUUUCAAGGCUAGCCUCAGCAACCUUAGCAAGACCCUGUCUCAAGAAGGUGGGAGUGCUGGGGCCGUAGCUCUGACAUAGGGCAACCCUGUGUUCAAUUCCCAAAAAAGAAAAAAAAGUACCAAAAAAGAAAAAAAAAAGGCAAAUUUUCAGAAAUAGCUGAUUUUCUGACUGCCUUCUUUUUAGGUUAAAAAUAUUGUAUUUUUAUUUGACCUGCUCAUUUAGAACUGAACAUUUUAGAGACUGAAUAAAGUAAUGAUUCAAAAUCAAUUCCCUUGACUUUUCU
rnacentral:lncRNA from 1 species